ACUCCUAGCGGGAGGCAGCAGUCGGGGAAUUAUUGCACAAUGGGCGCAAGCCUGAUGCAGCCAUGCCGCGUGUAUGAAGAAGGCCUUCGGGUUGUAAAGUACUUUCAGCAGUGAGGAAGGUGGGUAUGUUAAUAGCAUACUCAUUUGACGUUAGCUGCAGAAGAAGCACCGGCUAACUCCGUGCCAGCAGCCGCGGUAAUACGGAGGGUGCGAGCGUUAAUCGGAAUUACUGGGCGUAAAGCGCAUGCAGGUGGUUUGUUAAGUCAGAUGUGAAAGCCCGGGGCUCAACCUCGGAAUUGCAUUUGAAACUGGCAAACUAGAGUACUGUAGAGGGGGGUAGAAUUUCAGGUGUAGCGGUGAAAUGCGUAGAGAUCUGAAGGAAUACCGGUGGCGAAGGCGGCCCCCUGGACAGAUACUGACACUCAGAUGCGAAAGCGUGGGGAGCAAACAGGAUUAGAUACCC
rnacentral:rRNA from 1 species